AUUGAACGCUGGCGGCAUGCCUUACACAUGCAAGUCGAACGGUAACAGGUCUUCGGAUGCUGACGAGUGGCGAACGGGUGAGUAAUGCAUCGGAACGUGCACAGUAGUGGGGGAUAGCCCGGCGAAAGCCGGAUUAAUACCGCAUAAGACCUGAGGGUGAAAGGGGGGGAUCGCAAGACCUCUCGCUCUUGGAGCGUCAGAUGUCAGAUUAGCUAGUUGGUGGGGUAAAGGCCGACCAAGGCAACGAUCUGUAGUUGGUCUGAGGGGGCGACCAGCCACACUGGGACUGGGACACGGCCCAGACUGCUACGGGAGGGAGCAGUGGGGAAUUUUGGACAAUGGGCGCAAGCCUGAUCCAGCAAUGCCGCGUGCAGGAAGAAGGCCUUCGGGUUGUAAACUGCUUUUGUCAGGGAAGAAAUCUUCUGGGUUAAUACCUCGGGAGGAUGACGGUGCCUGAAGAAUAAGCACCGGCUAACUACGUGCCAGCAGCCGCCGUAAGAC
rnacentral:rRNA from 1 species